GUUGGAACCAACAUAGUACUGAUCGACCGUUUUCAACCAGCCAACAUCAUCGUGAGUGUGAGGAACCAAAUGAACGUUAAGCUUCCCUGAAACAAUUCCCUGUGAUGUAUUGUAAACCAUAUACUUAGCUUCCACUACCCACAACCCACAAACCAUCAAAAUCAAGAACCAAAUUUCAAACUUCCCCAUAUUUUUCAUUUCCACAAUUGCUGAGAGUGUUCACUGAAAGAGAAUGUACUAAACCAUAAACCCCAAAUCUCUAUAAAUAGCCUAAAUUUUUGUAGAUAAAUCAAGAAAGGGAAUCAAAGCCAAUGGACCUACAAGAUUAAUUGGAAAACUUAAUACUAAAGGGUCGUAUUCAAAAAUCAAGAUUUGUGAAGUCUUCGAUAAGUAAUGU
rnacentral:misc_RNA from 1 species